AAACGAGCGAGUAACGCGUGCUUAACCUGCCCCGAAGAUGGGAAUAACUACAGAGAUGUAGCUAAUUCCCAAUAUGCUCACGAUGGUGAAAUUCCGAUGUGAGGAAAGAUUUAUCGCUUCGGGAGGGGGGUGCGUCCUAUCAGGUAGUUGGUAAGGUAAUGGCUUACCAAGCCUAUGACGGGUAACCGGUCUGAGAUGAUGUCCGGUCGCGAUGGGACUGAGAUACGGCCCAUACUCC
rnacentral:rRNA from 1 species